rnacentral:rRNA from 1 species
UACGGAGGGUGCAAGCGUUAUUCGGAAUCACUGGGCGUAAAGGGCGUGUAGGCUGUUUACUAAGUCCGAUGUGAAAGCCCCCGACUCAAUUGGGGAAGUGCAUUGGAUACUGGUAGACUAGAGUACAGGAGAGGAGAACGGAAUUCCCGGUGUAGAGGUGAAAUUCGUAGAUAUCGGGAGGAACAACAGAGGCGAAGGCGGUUCUCUGGACUGUUACUGACGCUGAGGCGCGAAAGCGUGGGGAGCAAACAGG